GGGCCCGUAGCUCAGCUUGGUAGAGCAACUGAAAGCAAGUUGAAACUCUUAUCAAGUCUGGAGACAUCAGUAGGUCGUGCGUUCAAAUCGCGUCGGGCCCG
rnacentral:tRNA from 1 species